rnacentral:rRNA from 1 species
AACAACGCUGGCGGCGUGCCUAACACAUGCAAGUCGAACGAGAAAGUCGGUUUCGGCCGAUGAGUAAAGUGGCGCACGGGUGAGUAACGCGUGGAUAAUCUACCCUUUAGUCCGGAAUAACUUGCCGAAAGGUGAACUAAUACCGGAUGACAUCCCGGGUUCUCCGGAAACCGGGAUCAAAGAAGGCCUCUGCUUGCAAGCUUUUGCUGAAGGAUGAGUCCGCGUACCAUUAGCUAGUUGGUGGGGUAAUGGCCUACCAAGGUUAUGAUGGUUAGCUGGUCUGAGAGGAUGAUCAGCCACACUGGAACUGAAACACGGUCCAGACUCCUACGGGAGGCAGCAGUGAGGAAUAUUGCGCAAUGGGGGCAACCCUGACGCAGCAACGCCGCGUGAGUGAGGAAGGUUUUCGGAUUGUAAAGCUCUGUCGAGCGGAAAGAAAUGCACGAUGGCUAAUAUCCAUCAUGCUUGACGGUACCGCUAGAGGAAGCACCGGCUAACUCCGUG